rnacentral:rRNA from 1 species
GUCUACGGCCAUGCCACCCUGAACAAGUCCCAUCCUUUCUGAUCUCAGAAGCUAAGCAGGGUGGGGCCUGGUUAGUACUGGUAUGGGAGACCACGUAGGAAGACCAGGUGCUGUAGGUG